GAUGAACGCUGGCGGCGUGCCUAAUACAUGCCAGUCGAGCGAACAGACGAGGAGCUUGCUCCUCUGACGUUAGCGGCGGACGGGUGAGUAACACGUGGAUAACCUACCUAUAAGACUGGGAUAACUUCGGGAAACCGGAGCUAAUACCGGAUAAUAUAUUGAACCGCAUGGUUCAAUAGUGAAAGACGGUUUUGCUGUCACUUAUAGAUGGAUCCGCGCCGCAUUAGCUAGUUGGUAAGGUAACGGCUUACCAAGGCAACGAUGCGUAGCCGACCUGAGAGGGUGAUCGGCCACACUGGAACUGAGACACGGUCCAGACUCCUACGGGAGGCAGCAGUAGGGAAUCUUCCGCAAUGGACGAAAGCUUGACGGAGCAACGCCGCGUGAGUGAUGAAGGUCUUCGGAUCGUAAAACUCUGUUAUUAGGGAAGAACAAAUGUGUAAGUAACUAUGCACGUCUUGACGGUACCUAAUCAGAAAGCCACGGCUAACUACGUG
rnacentral:rRNA from 1 species